rnacentral:rRNA from 1 species
UACGGGGGGGGCAAGCGUUGUUCGGAAUUACUGGGCGUAAAGGGCUCGUAGGCGGCCAACUAAGUCAGACGUGAAAUCCCUCGGCUUAACCGGGGAACUGCGUCUGAUACUGGAUGGCUCGAGUUUGGGAGAGGGAUGCGGAAUUCCAGGUGUAGCGGUGAAAUGCGUAGAUAUCUGGAGGAAUACCGGUGGCGAAGGCGGCAUCCUGGACCGGCAUUGACGCUGAGUGAGCGAAAGCCAGGGGAGCAAACGGG